CUAGUUCCAGAGCCUGGAAAGGUAAACCCACUGGAUGACCUGGAGAGAAAAAGAAAGUUUGUUUCACAAGAACUAUCUAA
ensembl:snoRNA SNORD22 Small nucleolar RNA SNORD22